UCGAAAGGAACGCACGAAAUUUGAGGGGAUAAUUUUUUCUUAAAUACACAGUAUAUCAUCGGUAUUCGGUCUCUAUAAAUAUCUCAUUACGCGAUCUAAAAGAAAACGAAAGGAAAAUUUUCCCCGAUGCCUUCUAAUGCUUUAUGUCCAAUUUCCCCGAUGGUAUAUAUAUAUAUAUUCUGGACGGUUUCUUCAAGCUUUCAGAGAAAAUAUUAUUUUUCCUAUCGGACGGAAUAGAUCGCCAGAUGUAGUCGAAGGCGUGUGGCACGGUAACGAUUCAAGAUAAGAUUAACUUUAGAAGCGGAAACUGUUAAUAUGCAAGCCCGAGGAUCGACUGUCACGGAUCAAAGUAUGUUCAACGAGCAUCAGUGGAAUUGAGAUUUCAUAACUAAUCACUGGACUACCACUUGCACAAAUCAAGAUUAAUCUAAAAGAAGAGGAUUACGGCCUUGGUUUUUACAAACUCUGUGCUUCGACGAAUUUACCGGUGUUGCUCCAGCGAGGCCGGGCUGGAUGCGUUUCCGGUGGAUUUUCAAGGACA